CGUGCUGGAGUUGGUGAUCUGCUUCUUCUCCAUCUGGUCCAUUCUGGGCCUCUCAGGGUUUCACACAUACCUCGUCGCCUCCAACCUGACUACUAAUGAAGAUAUCAAAGGCUCGUGGUCCAGCAAGAGGGGCGGUGAGGCCUCUGUCAACCCCUACAGCCAUAAAAGUAUUAUCACCAACUGCUGCGCUGUGCUCUGUGGCCCCCUACCUCCCAGGUAAGUGAGCGGGGUGCAGAAGAGGGGUAACAGGGCCAUGCCUGGCCAGUGAUCAAAGUGUUCCUGGAUAUCAGCCCACCUCCCCCUACACCCUAGAUGCCCUCCGUCCACCACCCCCUGGAGGGCAUUUGUCAUGUGAAGGAAUUCUAUGGAGAAUUGUUAUUUAAUCACGUGCUCAUUGUAGAAAAAAAAAAUUAAGUACGAAACGUAAAACAGAAGAGCAUUGGAUAUGACAUGUAAUUCUACUCCCCGGGGAUAACCACCAUGACUGUUUCGGCCAUGCUUGAAUGACACUGCCCUUCUGGUUGCCCACUGCCUGGACUGGGUGGCGACUCCAUCCUCUCCU
rnacentral:sRNA from 1 species